rnacentral:tRNA from 1 species
GGGCUGCAGCUCAGUGGCAAAGUGCCUACCUAGCAUGCAUGAGGCACUGGGUUCAAUUCUCAGCACCACA